UGGGGAAUAUUGGACAAUGGGCGCAAGCCUGAUCCAGCAAUGCCGCGUGUGUGAAGAAGGCCUUCGGGUUGUAAAGCACUUUUAUCAGGAGCGAAAUCUGCAUGCUUAAUACGUGUGCAGUCUGACGGUACCUGAGGAAUAAGCACCGGCUAACUUCGUGCCAGCAGCCGCGGUAAUACGAGUGGUGCGAGCGUUAAUCGGAAUUACUGGGCUUAAAGGGUGCGCAGGCGGGUCCGCAAGCAUUCUGUGAAAUCCCCCGGCUCAACCGGGGAACUGCAGGGUGGACUGCGGGUCUUGAGAAAGGUAGGGGCCGACGGAACGAUCGGUGGAGCGGUGAAAUGCGUAGAUAUCGAUCGGAACGCCAAUGGUGAAGACAGUCGGCUGGGCCUUUUCUGACGCUCAUGCACGAAAGCGUGGGGAGCAAA
rnacentral:rRNA from 1 species